rnacentral:lncRNA from 1 species
ACCUGCCUCAGCAUCCCAAGUGCUGGGAUUACAGGUGUGAGCCAUCAUACUCAGCUAGCUGGCCUUGGAUUUGUGAUCCUCCUACUUCAUUCCCCUUAGUGGCUGGGAUUACAAGUGUGCACCACCAUGGCAGGGUAGAUUUUUCUUAUUCAUGUUUUCUAGAUUUUCACUUUGAAGGAAAAGUUUGCAAGGAGAAACAAGUUUUAUUAUCAUUUGUUUUUUUGUUUUUUAGGACAGGGUGUACUAUGUAGUUCAGGCUGACCUUAAACUCACUGUGUAGCCCAGACUGGCCUUGAACUCAUGGCGAUCCUCCUUCCUCAACCUCUUAAGAGCUAGUUUUACAGGCAUGUCCACCACAUCUGGCUCUUUGGUUGUAUUUUUUUUUCCUGCAGAAAUAUGGUAGAAUAAUAAAUUAAGAGGUAUAAUUGACAGCUCGUCCUUACAGAAUCUAAUGGAAUGAUAAUGCACCCUUUAAAGCAUUUGCUGUAUUGUUGUGUUUCAGAGGAUUCCACAGAUGUUGGUGAGGAGGACAGCUUCCUUGGUCAGACUUCUGUUCCCACAUCCACCCCACAGACAUUUAGUUACUUCUCUCAGGUAUCGAGCAAUAGUGAUCCUUUUGGGAAUAUUGGACAGUCACCCUUAACAACUGCAGCAACAUUGGUUGGACAAUCAGCAUUCUCCAACCCGCCAACUGCUCUCCCUUUUACAACUGAAUCCCACGAUGGGUUGACUACAUUUCCACCAUCUGUUUCAAAAGCUCAGUAUGGUACUCCACCUUCCUCACAGAUGGGAAUAAAUCCUUAUUUGCCUUCUCAGCCAAGUGGUUUCCCUCCUUCAAAUUUUGGGAGCCCACCGCAAGGAACCUCUCAACAAGGAUAUAAUCCAUAUCGCCAUACCCCUGUCAGCAGCAGGGCUAAUCCCUACAUCACACCUCCACAGCUGCAACAGUGCCAACCACCAGGCCAUCUCACUCACCCUCCAACCUCUGGACCUCCAGUACAGAUGUACCAGACGCCUCCAGCAUCUUUGCUGCCGAUUCCUCCUUCAGUACAGCCACCAACACAACAGCAAGCACUUGCUAAACCUGCAGGUCCCUCUGUGCAGGGGCCACCUCCUUUUGUACUUCAAAAUCAGUAUGAACCUGUCCAGCCCCACUGGUUUUACUGCAAGGAGGUAGAAUACAAACAAGUAUGGAUGCCUUUCAGUGCACUGGACUCUUUGAAUCUUGAAGAAGUCUAUAAUUCCGUCCAGCCAGACCCAGAGAGUGUGGUUCUCAGCACAGAUGGAGGGCGAUAUGAUGUCUACCUCUAUGACCGAGUGAGGAAAGCAGUGUACUGGGAAGAGGAGCCAGCUGAAGUGAGGCGCUGUACUUGGUUUUACAAGGAAAUUCUGUGGAAAAGGUCUACACAGAGGACUUCAGUGAAAAACUAGAGGUUGAAUAUAAAAAAGCUGUAACCACAAAUCAGUGGCACCGAAGAUUAGAGUUUCCAAGUGGAGAGACUAUUGUUAUGCACAAUCCAAAGGUAAUGGUACAUUUGAAGAUUUUAAAGUGUUAAGUACAUUUUAAGAGUUACUUUGCUGUGUUUGAUAAACAUUCAUUUUUAAUAAUUUCUACAGUUGGGAUAUAUAAUAAGAGCAUUGCUUUUAAAAUAGUUUACCGUAAUUAUCGAUCAUGGAAACAACACAUCAGUCUGCUUUCUUGUCACCAGAAUACAGUGCCUGACACCCACAAUUUAAGGGAAGAG